GGAUAUAGCUCAGUUGGUUAGAGCGCUAGAUUGUGGCUCUAGAGGCCGUCGGUUCGACUCCGACUAUC
rnacentral:tRNA from 1 species